rnacentral:rRNA from 1 species
GAUGAACGCUGGCGGCGUGCCUAAUACAUGCAAGUCGAGCGAACAGAUGAGGAGCUUGCUCCUCUGACGUUAGCGGCGGACGGGUGAGUAACACGUGGAUAACCUACCUAUAAGACUGGGAUAACUUCGGGAAACCGGAGCUAAUACCGGAUAAUAUAUUGAACCGCAUGGUUCAAUAGUGAAAGACGGUUUUGCUGUCACUUAUAGAUGGAUCCGCGCCACAUUAGCUAGUUGGUAAGGUAACGGCUUACCAAGGCAACGAUGCGUAGCCGACCUGAGAGGGGGACGGACCACACUGGACCGAGUCAACGGUGAGAACUCCACGGGGGGGCACGAUGGGGGAGUCUCCGACAAGGGGCAAAAUUUGGCCGGAGAAGCGCGGGGGGGGUAAAGAGGUUUUGGGAAUAUAAAACCUUUUUUAUAGGGAAAAAAAAAUUGUGUAAGAAACAAUGCCCGUCUGGAGGUUACCAAAUAGAAAGCCCGGGACAAGCUAGGUC